UUGAGCUUCUGUCAAAUCGUCGCCUUGAGAAGCUCAAACACGUACGUGAAUCUGAAGUGAAGGCUUCAAUCCAUAGGUUAUACAAGAAUUGCAUAAGUAGCAGCAGUUCACGUAAAGUAGUUUCCGUGGAGAUGAUCCAUUGGAUCGAGGGCACAGUACUUGACAUUCUUUUGAGAAUAAUUGCCGGAAAACGUCACACUUCACAAUCAGAAGAGGCUAAUGAUUGGCAACAGCAAAUAACAAAGAUCGCUGCCUUGUUUGGUCAGUUCGUGGUGUCCGAUGCGUUGCCCUUUCUGAGACGGUUAGAUAUCGGUGGAUAUAAGAGAUUAAUGAGCAAGACAGCUAAAUAUUUUGACAUUAUUUUGCAAGAAUGGUUGGAUGAGCACAAGAUGAAAAGAGUUUCUGGUGAAGUUAAGGGUGACGAGGAUUUCAUAUAUGUGUUGUUGUCCCUACUUGAUGAUAAUGCAGAGCAGCUUCCUGAUCGCGAUGCUGACACUGUCGUUAAAGCAAUCUGCUUGGUAUAAUAUAUCCUCAUGAAAAGCUUGUGGUGUGUUUGUGUUGUAUUGUUAUACGAAUGUCACAGAUUUCUUACUGCUUUUAAUUUGCAGAGUCUAAUCGUAGCGGGUACACAGACCACAGUAGUUACAUUGACAUGGGCUAUUGCUUUACUUCUCAACAAUCCCGAGGUUCUGAAGAAGGCACAAGAUGAAAUAGACAUUCAGGUUGGUACUGAAAGGCCAGUGAAUGAAUCAGACACGAGAAAUUUGGUUUACUUGCAGGCCAUUAUCAAGGAAACAAUGCGUUUAUACCCUGCUGGACCACUUUUACUACCUCACGAGUGUAUAGAAGCAUGCAUCGUCAAUGGUUACCACGUCCCUGCAGGCACCCAACUGUUUGUUAACGCCUGGAAGAUUCAACGCGAUCCAUGUGUUUGGGAGGAGCCAUGUCAAUUUCAGCCAGAAAGAUUUCUUACUAGGCAUAAGGAUAUUGAUGUUGGGGGACAAGAUUUUGAAUUGAUACCAUUUGGCAGCGGAAGAAGGAUGUGUCCUGCAGUGUCAUAUGGCCUUCAAGUUAUGCAACUAAUGCUUGCUUCAUUAGUGCGUGGGUUUGAUUUUACAACCCCAUCAGGUGAACCGGUUGACAUGGGAGAGGCAAUGGGCCUAUCCAUUGCUAAAGCUACUCCACUUGAAGUGCUUCUUAGUCCGCGCCUUUCUGCCUCUUCAUAUGGUUAAAUUAGCUUGUGUACUUGUUAAUAUAAAUAAAUAAGUUGUACUUUUCAACAAUUUAGUGAUAAGGUGCGUUUAUAUAAGUGGAUGUCAUCAUCGUGUGUUUAUCACAUUGUAUUAUAUUAAAUGUGAGUUUGACAUAUUAUAUUACAUUGUAUUAUUUAACGUUUGGUAAGUUGCUUUUGAUUGUAUUAUGUUAACAUUAUAUUAUAUUAAUGCUGUAUAAUAUUUGGUACUAUACUGUACUAUAUUAAUUUUUAUUUAUCUUAUGUUUGGUGUUGCAUUGCAUUGCAUUAUAUUAAUUCUUUUGUUGAAAAUUUUAAAUUACAAGUUGGGAAAAAAUAUUAAUUAGUACUUAGAAAAAUGAUAAAAUAGAUGUUGUAAAUUUUAUAAUUUUUUACAUCAAUUAUAUUUUAGUAUAAAUGUAAAAAAUAUCACAAUUCUUUUGAACAUAUGUAAAAUUAAGAAAUUCUAAAAUUUUUGGUGUGUGUAUAUAUACACAUAGGAGCAGUUCUUAAAUAUAUAUUUUAUGAAAUAAAGAUUAAAGAAAAUAAUUCAAUCAAAUAAUCUCUAAAAAUUAUCAUAACAUAAAUAAAUAGAUAAAAGCCAUCUCAUGAUAAAGAUGACAACAAAAGCAUUUACAUAUACCACAACAAACUAGAACCCUAAUCACUAAAUAAAAUGGAUUGAACAAUGCACCAAACUCAGUUCAAUUUAUAGCUGGAGGCCGUUCUAAUUCUGUUGGUUCUUCCAGGGCUCUGGCUCACUGGUGGUGCCAUAAGCCCCCAUGGACGGGCCCUCUUCAUGAUGUUACACACAUCACAGAAAUUAAAUUCAGCUGAGAAGUGGGAUGGGUUGGUAAUGGCACAUGAACUGAUCUGGGAAAAAUUUUAUCGCGGAUGACAGAUGAAAGUGACCCCAGAUUGCCAUUUGGAUACAUCAAACUGGAUGAGAUUCCAUUCUUAUGUCAUUUAUUCUGCAUUGUUGUGUUGAAAUUCCAUGUAGCUGGUGAUUUUUCUAACUUCAUUAGAUGGCAAGCCGUGCAAAGAUUAAUUCUCCUUCCCUAGAGACCAUGAUGAGCGCCAUGCAAAAGGUAUUCUUGCAGUAGACUCUUUAAAGUGUUUAUUACAUACCAAGCCUUUGUGUCAUAUGAAGGAUUGAUAUUUGAUAUCUUGGGAAAGCUGUAAAAUAAGGCAGCUAUUCUUCCCUCAACUGGGCAUAAAGAAACGAUGUCCACAGCUCCAUUCUGCAUUUCCUUGUAUGACCAUGCCUAGUGACUAUUGCAGGAGGGAUACGUAGCCAGCAGGUCACACAUUGCUUCCAAUGCAAUCAAGACAAAUUGUCCCAUGGUAGUAUGCAUCAGGAUCGCCAAGGAACUGCAGGGCUGCCAGAAAACAUAGGCUAAGUGAUGUUGGUAUGGGGCAGCAGAAGCCAUGCCUAGCUUUUCCGGAAGCAAUCAGAAUUUAGCGAUGUAACUGCGUCUCCGUGGACAGGAGUUGAUUGCCCAUAUGCACCCAAGGGAUUUUUUUUUUUUUGGCCAACUGCAAGAUUUUGAACGAACGGAACGAAGGCCGCAAUGAAUUAUGAAAAGGGUGGAUUAAAAUGAUUUUAAUUAUACUGACUUGGAAGAAACCGAUUCCUGAGUUUCAGUAAAAAAUUAUGAAUUGAUUUUAAUAUGGUUUCAUACAAGGUAUACUUUGACGCAAUUAUCACCGAUUAACUAAUAUAACAUAAUUAAAUUUAAAUUCAUUUUGUUUAAAUAAAUCAAUACACAUCAUAGCUGAAAAUAUAGACUUAGGAUUCUUUCCUAGUCUUUUUUUUUCCCCUCUCGUAGUCUCUCUCAAUAUUCCAAUUCUAGUUAAAAAAAAAAACUUAAUUGUAAACAAAGUGAAACAAGUCUGCCUAAAUUAUUAACAUUAAAAUUCAAAAAAUUCAAGAGUCAAGACUACUCAUUUUAUUAAGAGAAGCUAGUAGAGAAAAAAGAUUCGAAGAUGAUUCACUUUAAAAAAUAUAAAUGAUACAUCAUACAAGAUCCUUAAACAUUAUCUGAUAUGUCAUUACAUUUAUAAAUGACAAGUCAUUCAAUUUUCACACUGGAGUAAAGAUUAUACAAAAUGUUAUCUGCCAUAAAACUAUAAACGACAUAUACCGUAUUUGAUGAAUUUCAGACAAGUAAUUUUACUCCAACUAAGAAUCAACAACAUUUUACCUAUUUAGUAUCUUAAUUUCUUUUGAAUUCCAACUGAUGUAACAUUUAUUUAUUAAAUGGUAAAUUAAAAAUUUCAUGAGUUAUGAAGUUCAUCAUAAUGAGUCAUAUAAUAUUGAGAGUAAAGUUGAAACUCAAAUAUUAAAACUCCUAAAUUAGCUAACAUAAAAUUAAGAAACUCAUUAAAUAUAUAUAAAUGUUUAUAAUUAACUUAUGGGAAAUUAUCAUUUUACUACUAAAAUUUUAUUGACAUAUCAUGUCAAUACCAAGAUUUGCCGAAAAGUACAUUUUACUACCAAAAUUUUGUGCCGUUAUUAAUUCACCACCAUUUCGUUAAGAAAAAGUUAAUGUUUAACGAAAAUUGAGUUAAAAAUCGAUUUUACCCCUAAGAGUUUGGUAGUAAAAUAAUAAUUCCCUUAAAAAUUUGAUAGUAAAAUGAUAUUUUAUCUAUCAAAUUAACAAACAAUUUUACUCUUACAACUGGAAAUGUCUUUGAUGCCCUUAUGACAUCAGCAAACUUUUAACGUUGUUAACAGAACGGUAGUGAAUUGAUAACGGCGCAAAACUUUAGUAGUAAAAUGUACUUUUCGGCAAACCUUGGUACUGACAUGAUAUGUCAGUAAAACUUUAGUAGUAAAAUGAUAAUAUCCCUUAACUUAUUUUGCAGCUAAUUUUUCCAACUUGAAAACAUGUUAAUUCCAAAGGUCCCUUAAGAUGAAGAUUGACAGUAAGCUUGACUUGAUAACCUUAAAAGGGUAAAAAACUAGAGCCUAUCAAACUUAAUGGAACAAGUGUGAAAUACCUUCUCAAUAUACUGAAAUGAAUUCCUACCACUACAAAAUUUUAUACUUCUCAUUGAAAUUAAAAAUCCCAAAAAUUUAACAAUAAUUCUUAAGACUUUGAAAAAGAAUAUGCGGGAAACACUGAAACUUCCUACACAAAAUUCAAGUGCUUGUAGGUAUCUAAAAGCAUAAUAGCAGAUUAAGAAUGGAAUAGACUUCAUGGGCGAACUGGAACUCCGAUGGCUGGGCGUGGCGCUUGACCAGGCUGACCAGGCUUUGGCAAAUCAUCCUGAAUGAAAAGGAAAAAAAGAAAAAGAAAACAAAAUAUAAGAGCCAAUGAAGAAAAUUUUCAAGUACGCGAGCACAAACGAAGACCAUAUAAAACUGACAAGCUUAACCAUUUUUCAAAUGCUACAGAUAUCACACAGCAACUAUCCCAAGACCAAAAACAUCCUCAAUUUGGUCUUUUAGUUCCCUGUAAAACAAAGGAAAAAUCUACCACACAGAGACAUAACACUGUCUCCCUUUUUUUCCUUUUUUCCCCCCUCUUAGGCUAACCCAGAAGUAAGCUUUUUUAACAGGCUGAAUGAGGAUAUUACUACUGGCAAGUAAAUCCUUGUGAUAGAACAGACUAGGUAAGUGGUCUAUCUGCCUACAUCUAUAAACCAUAAAUCAUUCUAAAAAUCAAUAUGAACAGAGACCAUUAGCCAAAACCCUGAUUAAAAAAUCUCAAUAGAAACAUGAAAAAGAUACCCUGCGUCUCAUAAAACGCUUUGGUGGUUCACGGUUCCUGCGGUCAGUGCGUGAGCGAACCCUCACCACAUGCGAGUGAAUUGCACAGGAGACACAGUACUGCAUCUUUGCAUACAACUUAGGCAGAACAUAGUCUGCAUCAAAUUCAAAAGAUUCCCAUUAUUUCCCAUUCAAACAAUACAUAAUUAAUUACAAAAUAAGAGAAAUAAUAACAUCUGUAGUAGAUAUUUACUAUCAUAGAUGCAGGCAUCCUGCACGUCUCUGACAGCAGCUUGCUCAACAAUGUUCCUCACAAGGAACCUCUUGAUUGCCUUGUCCUUUUCAUCCAUUCACAACCCAAAAUUAAAACCAAAAAAAAAAAGUGUCAAAUUACAACAAACAAAAGGCAUAUAAAUUAAUUUUUAAAUGCAAACUUAACAUCAUUACAACAACUCUAGUCUAACUGAAUGACUUGACCAAUACAUCCGCAAAAUUUAUCAUGACACAAGUUUACAAAAAUAUGGAAGAACUGAAAAAAUGAAUCUUCUUUCCCAUAAUUCCACACAAUUGCCUCAUUUGGGAGGGCAAAAUUCUCAAUGUUCUUGAUUUUUAUCAAAAUGAACAAAACAAAACAGGGAAUCAUAUAAUACUAAUAAUAAUAAAAAAUACAAUUUUAGUUAAUUAAAGCGAUAUAAAAAUAAAAAUAAAAGUGCAUACUUUGGGGCAGCAUUUGCCGCAGUUGGAGCAGCGGAUGAAGUUGACGUGGCCACGGCCGUGCUUGUUGCGGCCGCCGUUCCGGCGCUUGAAGGUCUGUCACAGAAAAAAUUAAUAUAAUAUAUCAAAUUUAUAUUAAAUAAAAAAAAAUUCUUUUUUUUUCAAUAAUAAUAUUUUUGGAAAUCAGAAAGAUAAAAUAUUUUGGCAAACCAUUCUGUUUUUUUCAAGGGAUGAAGGCGGCGACUGGCGAGAUUUGGUUGUUUGCUCGACUCAAAGUGCGGCAGGGCUUCCAAAAGUACAAUUUACAUGGCACCUUUAUAUGGAGGAGUGACUUUCAAUAAUUCGGAAUUGAGGCCUCGUUUUUAUAAUAUUUUCACAUUGCCCCUUUUAUAUUGGAUGGUUAGGAACGGAUUAUGAUUAUAGAUAAGUAAAUUCGGACGGAUAGUUUGAGACUUAACGAGAUAAUGAUAGAUUUAAAAAAAAAAUUAAAAUUCUAUCAGAUUUUAUAUAGGUAAAUAAUUAUUUAUAUUUCUAAAAAUUUAGUGAAUAGUUAUAUUUGACCCCUUUUUAUUUUUCUCGCCAACCUCCAUUACUCAGUUAACCAUAUCAUAAAUUUUUAAAUAACUUUCUAUCUCUCAACAUAAUUCAAUACUCCUAAUAUACCAUUAGUCGAGGCCCAUUGUGAUCUUCAGAUACCAGAUGAUUUAAUACACCGAAAAAAAAUAUAUAUCAUUAUCAUAAGCUCAAUCCUUUUACACACACUCUUUCAACUUCUGCCAACUCUACAUCUCCAGCAAAAGCAGUAGUGAUGAUCUCCCCUUUGCAAUUUUUGACAACCAUGUCUAAGCCCAACCAUCAUUCCUUCUGAAGUUGAGAUUGCUGCACGAGUGAAAAAGAAUAUUGAAAUUGAAUUAUUAAUUUGGAAGAAUUUCACAACACAAUUAAACAAUAAUUGAAUAUAUUUGAGUCAUUUGACCGUAUUUUUUUUGUUAAAAAAACCCAUAUCUAGGUUCAGUUACAAAAGCCAAAUCUCUCUAAUCAUGUGUCUAGAUUCAAGGACCACAAACAAGAGAUUCCAAGAACUUGUUAACACCCUUUUAGAAAACUUGAUUUUGGAUUUUCAUGCUUGGACAAUGGCUUCUUGGAUUCCUCUCCAAUGACUCCAAUUUUGUCAUACAAUUGAUUGAAAUUGAAUGGCACAUGCUCGAUUGAUACUCUCAAGUCUUAUCGAGAUUUUGAGCCCGGCAUAGUUGAGGAGUUUUAUAAGUUUAAAAAAUGGGGUGGCUGAAAAAUAGGCUGAUGAAGAAUUUAAACAAAAAAUAAUAAUUCGAAUAUCACUCAAAUUUAAUUCUUUUUUAUUUAAAAAAACAAAAAAAAAACUGAUGAUUUUUAUUUAAAAGAAUAAUAUUUAAGUCCCUCAAGUUUUUUAUUUUUAACUAUUUGUAUCUUUUCUUUAAAAUUUAUUAUACUCAUAAGAUAUCAACAGUCAAUAUUCAAAAUAACUUUUUCUAAAUAUCAAAACAAUCAUCAUCAUCAUUAUUAUUAUUAUUUCGUGUAAUAUAGUUAUAGGGACAAAAAUCUAAGGGUGAAAUAAAAGUGGUAUUUAUAGAAUUUAUAUAAUGACAAAAGCCAAGUGGACCCAAGUGAUAAAACUGUUUAAUUGAUGGACAGAAGAUCAAUUUUCUUUUGUGUUGCCGACACCACAGUUUGGUUUACGCUUCCCGACCCAUGAUAUAGGAGAAGUCUAUGUUACAGCUUCUGUAAGUAGCAGCAGCCAAUAGGGAACUUCCACGGGUGCAAGGUGAUGGAAAUGGGAAAGUUCGAAGCUGUUACUUGCAGCUUCUGCACCUUAGCCAUGUCCUGAUAUUCAGGACCAUGCACUUUUGUCAUCCCAGACAAUUUUUCAUAAUUAAAACAAAACAAGUGCUGCGUCCUGUGGCUGAUAUUUAGAGCAAAUGAAGUUUACCAAGUCCUCCCAUGAAAAUAUCAUAUCCCACCAUUAUCUCCAACCAUUUUAAAGGUUGAAAUUACAAGAGAAGUCGUAUCGUAUCUAUGUACUAUACUACUAUGUUUGUCACAAUUGUUUGGCAACCUCCAAAUUGGCCGUAUAAAGUCAUUGAUUAAUCAGAAAAAAAUACCAUUGUCGAAAACUUCGCCAUUGUGGCCCCUGAUGUAUAAAACUGACCAUAGGAUUAGCAAAGGUUUGUCAGCUAGCGGAACCUACGUGUACGUCACGUACACUUAAAUGUUAUCUAUAUACUGUGUAGGCAUUGCUCUGAGCUAACCUCUUCAUUCAAAGUCCCCGAGUCAGCUGCAAAGGAAUGGCCAUGAAUAAUCUUUCAACAGAAUCAACUGUUGCUGCAGCAAUUUCAGCCUUAGUGAUAUUCCUCUCAAUUUUCCUAUUGAUUUCAAGAAAUGGGCAAAAAAGGACACUCAAGAAGAAGCAAGCUCAACAAGCGCCGGGAGCAGGGGGAGCAUGGCCUUUGAUAGGCCACCUAUAUCUCUUACGACGGCCAGAGCCAGCUCACAGAGUUUUGGGCAACAUGGCUGACAAAUAUGGACCGAUAUUCACUAUGAAAUUGGGAGUGAAGCAAGCUUUAGUGGUGAGCAACUGGGAAAUUGCCAAGGAGUGUUUUACCACAAACGACAAAGCUUUUGCAGGUCGCCCCAAAACAAUGGCCAUGGAGCUUUUGGGGUACAACUUCUUGGUCAUAGGCUUCGCACCAUAUGGCAACUACUGGCGUCAGUCACGUAAGAUAGCCACAAUUGAGCUUCUGUCAAAUCGUCGGCUUGAGAUGCUCAAACAUGUACGUGAAUCCGAAGUGAAGGCUUCAAUCCAGAGGUUAUACAAGAACUGCAUAAGUGGCAGCAGUUCACGUAAAGUAGUUUCGGUGGAGAUGAUCCAUUGGCUCGAGGGCACAGCACUUGACAUUAUUUUGAGAAUAAUUGCCGGAAAACGUCACACUUCACAAUCAAAAGAGGUUAACGAUUGGCAACAGCAAAUAACAAAGUUCACUGCCUUGUCUGGUCAGUUCGUGGUGUCCGAUGCGUUGCCCUUUCUGAGAUGGCUAGAUAUCGGCGGCUAUGAGAGAUUAAUGAGCAAGACAGCCAAAUAUUUUGACAUCAUUUUGCAAGAAUGGUUGGAUGAGCACAAGAUGAAAAGAGAUUCUGGUGAUGUUAAGGGCGACGAGGAUUUCAUGUAUGUGUUGUUGUCCUUGCUUGAUGAUAAUGCAGAGCAGCUUCCUGAUCGCGAUGCUGACGCUGUCAUUAAAGCAAUAUGCGUGGUAUAUUAUAUGCUCAUCAAAAGCUUUUGUGUGCGCGUGUGUUGUAUUGUUAUCCUUAUGUCACAGAUUGCUUACUGCUUUUAAUUUGCAGACUCUAAUCGUAGCGGCUGCAGACACCUCAGUAGUUACGUUGACAUGGGCUAUUGCUUUACUUCUCAACAAUCGCGAUGUUCUGAAGAAGGCACAAGAUGAAUUAGACAUUCAGGUUGGUACUGAAAGGCCAGUGAAUGAAUCGGACACGAGAAAUUUGGUUUACUUGCAGGCCAUUAUCAAGGAAACGAUGCGUUUAUACCCUGCUGCACCACUUUUACUACCUCACGAGUCUAUAGAAGAAUGCGUCGUCAAUGGUUACCAUGUCCCCGCAGGCACCCAACUGUUUGUUAACGCUUGGAAGAUUCAACGCGAUCCAUGUGUAUGGGAGGAGCCAUGUCAAUUUCAGCCAGAAAGAUUUCUUACGAGGUAUAAGGAUAUUGAUGUUAGGGGACAAGAUUUUGAAUUGAUACCAUUUGGGAGUGGAAGAAGAAUGUGUCCUGCAGUGUCACUAGGCCUUCAAGUUAUGCAACUAACGCUUGCUUCAUUAGUGCAUGGGUUUGAUUUUACAACCCCAUCGGAUGAACCGGUUGACAUGGGAGAGGCAAUGGGCCUAACCAUUGCUAAGGCUACUCCGCUUGAAGUGCUUGUUAGUCCGCGCCUUUCUGCUUCUUUAUAUGGUUAAAAUUAGCUUGUGUACUUAGUUAAUGCAAAUAAUUAAGUUGUACUUUUCAACAACUUAGUCAUAAAGGUGCGUUUAUCUCUUUUAAGUGUCAUGUCACUGUUGCCGUGCGUUUAGCACACUGCAUUAUGUUAAGGGUAAGUUUAAUAUAUUAUAUUGUAUUUUAAUUAUUUAAUAUUUGCUAUCUUGUAUUAAAUUGUAUCAUAUUGACAUUGUAUUGUAUUAAUAGUGUAUAACAUUUGGUACUAUAUUGUACUAUAUUGUACUAUAUUAUUUUUUAUUUAUCCCAUAUUUGGUACUGCACUGCAUUGCAUUAUAUUGAUUAUUUAGAUAAUUAAUUUAAAUUAUAAGUUGGGAAAAACAUUUUUUUUUUUAAAAGACUAAAUAUCGAAGUUAUAAAUUGUAGAAUUUUUCACAUCAAUUAUUUUCAGUCUAAAUGUAAAAUGUAUUAUAAUUCUUUUGAACACAUGUAAAAUUAACAAUUUCUAAAAUUUUCGGUAUCAUAACUUUUAUUUGUUCUAACAUUUCUCAAAUGCAUACCUUUUGAAAUAAAGAUCCAAUCAAAUAAUCUAAUAAAAUAAAUUCUAAAAAAUCAUAACAUAAAUAAAUAGAUAAAUAGUCAUCUAAACGUUAAGGAUGUUAAUAAAAAGUUUACAUAUGCUACAACAUACUAGGACCCUGAUCCCUUAAUAAAAUGGAUUGAACAAUGCACUAAGCUCCUCAUCCAACAAUGAAAAAAAUUUUACAUGAGUUUUUUUUUUUUAAUUUAUAAUCUUUCAUUAAAGAAAUUUACGAGAUACAUAGCAGGUAGGGGUGGCAAAAAAGCCUGGGCUGGCCCAGGCCCGGCCAAGCCCAGCCCAGGCCCGCGGGCCUAAAGCCCGGCCCGCACAGGUGGGCCUGGACAAGGGCUUAGCAAAAAAGCCUGGACUUGGCCCAGGCUUUUUAAAUUUAUGAAUAAAAAAAAAUAAUUUAAAUAAAAAGAAAAAAUUUAAAAUAUUAAAUUAGUUUAAUUUUUUAUAUUAGUAUUUGUUAUUUUAUUAGGUUGUAUUAUUAAUAUUUCAUGUAUUUGACCAUUAUUCUAUUUAUAUAUUAGAUUAUUAUCUUUAAUUUAAAUAUUUUUCUUAAUUUAAAAAAUAUUUUAUAAUUAAUUUUAAAGGCCCAAGCCCGGCCCGUCCAAGUUGGACGGGCUUUUAAAGGGCCUAGGCUUCGUUUGAAAGAUGCGGGCUUGGGCCUGGGCUUUAAAAAGCCCGGCCCAAGUCCACAAAUUGCCAUCCCUAAUAGCAGGCAUGAAACUUUGGCCACAUUGAUGCCAAACCCUAUGGCUUUAGCCUUUGCCAAUUCCAUCUCACCUAGAAAUUCAAUUCUAUUCAUUGAUGCCGUCAUUAACUAUCCUCUUGAGUUUCUGAUCACAACAUCUAAGCCUUUAACAACAUCACAACUUCUAAUAGCUGCAUCCGGAUCCUAAGUUAAAUUCUCCAGAUUGCAUGGCACUUAAGAAGAAAAACUUCACUUACUACUUUGUAGGACUUUAAGGGUGCGUUUGUGAUUGAGGUUGGACAGCUGUACCUUAAAAGCUACAGCACUAAAGUAUUUGGUAAACACUGAUUGCUGGAGUUUUUAAGUUAUGUUGAUAUAAAUUUUCACCUGUAUAAUAAAAAAUUUAUUAUAUUUUUAAUAAUUUUAUUAAAUUAUUAUUUAAAAUAUAUAUUUACUACAUUAUUAAUUUUUAUAUGAUAAUUAUAAUUUUUUUUCCGCAACAGCUGUAGCUUAAAAAGUACAGCACUACAAUCUCAAACGGGACCUAAGAAAUAUUCAACACAUCUCCAUAAUUCUUUCUUGGUCUACAACGCAGUGAUCAUAGUAAAAUCUAUUAGUUGCUAAUAUGUUUCUCAAUAUACCUUAAUUCUUCUUAUAACUAAUACACUUUACAGGCCAAAUUAUACAUUUGAAAAUAUUUUUAAGGAUCACACAAUUAUUUGGGGCGAGUUGACGUGGCCACGGCCGUGCUUGUUGCGGCCGCCGUUCCGGCGCUUGAAGGUCUGUCACAGAAAAAAUUAAUAUAAUAUAUCAAAUUUAUAUUAAAUAAAAACAAUUCUUUUUUUUUUUCAAUAAUAAUAUUUUUGGAAAUCAGAAAGAUAAAAUAUUUUCGCAAACCAUUCUGUUUUCUUCAAGGGAUGAAGGCGGCGACUGGCGAGAUUUGGUUGUUUGCUCGACUCAAAGUGCGGCAGGGGUUCUGAAAGUACAAUUUACAUGGCAGCUUUAUAUGGAGGAGUGACUUUCAAUAAUUCGGAAUUGAAGCCUCGUUUUUAUAAUAUUUUCACAUUGCCCCUUUUAUAUUGGAUGGUUAGGAACGGAUUAUGAUUAUAGAUAAGUAAAUUCGGACGGAUAGUUUGAGACUUAACGAGAUAAUGAUAGAUUAAAAAAAAAAUUAAAAUUCUAUCAGAUUUUAUAUAGGUAAAUAAUUAUUUAUAUUUCUAAAAAUUUAAUGAAUAGUUAUAUUUGACCCCUUUUUAUUUUUCUCGCCAACCUCCAUUACUCAGUUAACCAUAUCAUAAAUUUUUAAAUAACUUUCUAUCUCUCAACAUAAUUCAAUACUCCUAAUAUAUCAUUAGUCGAGGCCCACUGUAGUCUUCAGAUACCAGAUGAUUUAAUACACCGAAAAAAAAAAUACCAUUAUCAUCAAUUCAAUAGUCCUAAUUACACACACUCUUUCAACUUCUGCCAACUCUACAUCUCCAGCAAAAGCAGUAGUGAUGAUCUCCCCUUUGCAAUUUUUGACAACCAUGUCUAAGCCCAACCAUCAUUCCUUCUGAAGUUGAGAUUGCUGCACGAGUGAAAAAGAAUAUUGAAAUUGAAUUAUUAAUUUGGAAGAAUUUCACAACACAAUUAAACAAUAAUUGAAUAUAUUUGAGUCAUUUGACCGUAUUUUUUUUGUUAAAAAAACCCAUAUCUAGGUUCAGUUACAAAAGCCAAAUCUCUCUAAUCAUGUGUCUAGAUUCAAGGACCACAAACAAGAGAUUCCAAGAACUUGUUAACACCCUUUUAGAAAACUUGAUUUUGGAUUUUCAUGCUUGGACAAUGGCUUCUUGGAUUCCUCUCCAAUGACUCCAAUUUUGUCAUACAAUUGAUUGGAAUUGAAUGGCACAUGCUCGAUUGAUACUCUCAAGUUGAGGAGUUUUAUAAGUUUAAAAAAUGGGGUGGCUAAAAAAUAGGCUGAUGAAGAAUUUAAACAAAAAAAAGAAAGAAAGUUCGAAUAUCACUCAAAUUUAAUUCUUUUUUAUUUAAAAAAACAAAUAAACUGAUGAUUUCUAUUUAAAAGAAUAAUAUUUAAGUCCCUCAAGUUUUUUUUUUUUAACUAUUUGUAUCUUUUCUUUAAAACUUAUUAUACUCAUAAGAUAUCAACAGUCAAAUAUUGGGUCCGCCUAACUUACGUUCAACGCAAGUUACGCUCAGUCCGUCCAAUUUCAUAUAGUCCCCUUAUACUCUAUACUAUUUAUAUUUAUUCAUAAAUAUUAUAAAUUUUUUGAAAUGUAAACUUUCAUUUAACCCCUUAUACUCAAUUUUAUUUUAUUAAAACCAUAGAGUAUGAAUUCGCCCCCAUAAUUUUAAAUUCUCAAAAUAAUCUCCAUUUAAUUAAAAAUAUAAUUAUAUUAUUAUUGGUCUCAAAAAUAUAAUUAUAAUCAUUAAUUAUUAUUAUUAUUAUUAUUAUUAUUAUUAUUAUUAUUAUUAUUCUUAUUAACAAUUUAUAAUGCUUUUUAUUCUUGUUAUUAAUAAUAACAAUAAUCUAUUAAAAAAUAUUUAUGAUUAUAAUAAAAUUAUAAUUAUAAUUAUAAUUCAUUUAAAAAUAAUUAUAUUUUUAAUUAAAUGGAGGUUAUUUUGAGAAUUUAAAAUUAUGGGGGCGAAUUUAUACUCUAUGGUUUUAAUAAAAUAAAGUUGAGUAGAGGGGAAAAUAUUAUAAUUAAUUAAUCUAUUAACAAUAAUUAAUAAUAUUUUUAUUAAAUUGUUAGUAAUAAUAAUAAUAAUUAAUGAUAAUCAACAUAUUUAUGAUUAUAAUAAAAUGGAAUAAACACCGAGUCUAUAUUUAUAUAGGAGACUCUUUUAUAUUUUUAUACAUUUUAAUUUCAAGUACUUUUAGGAUUUUUUUGUUACCUUCAUAAAUAAUGAUUUUCUAGGCAUCUCAUUAUUAAACGGUCAUUUUUAAGUGUUUUUUGCUAAGUUGUUACACAUUCGAGGAUGUAAACACAUUUUUCUUGCUUCUAUUUUUUAAAUACAAAAUUAUUUUUAUUGGGUCAAGCUUAAAAUUCUGACAGAAAUUAUCAUUCAUUGGUCUCUUGAAACCCGAUAAUGAGUAUUUAAAGUCGAAGGUAGCAUUAGCAAUAUAUUUACUAUUAGUUAGAUAAUCAUUAAUUAUUAUUAUUAUUAUUAUUAUUAUUAUUAUUAUUAACAAUUUAUAAUGCUUUUUAUUCUUGUUAUUAAUAAUAACAAUAAUCUAUUAAAAAAUAUUUAUGAUUAUAAUAAAAUUAUAAUUAUAAUUAUAAUUCAUUUAAAAAUAAUUAUAUUUUUAAUUAAAUGGAGGUUAUUUUGAGAAUUUAAAAUUAUGGGGGCGAAUUUAUACUCUAUGGUUUUAAUAAAAUAAAAUUGAGUAGAGGGGGCUAAACAAAAUUUUAUUUUAAUAACAAUAAUCUAUUAAAAAAAUAUUUGUGAUUAUAAUAAAAUUAUAAUUAUAAUUAUAAUUCAUUUAAAAAUAAUUAUAUUUUUAAUUAAAUGGAGGUUAUUUUGAGAAUUUAAAAUUAUGGGGGCGAAUUCAUACUCUAUGGUUUUAAUAAAAUAAAAUUGAGUAGAGGGGGUUGAAUGAAAUUUUAUAUUUUAAAAAAUUUAUAAUAUUUAUGAAUAAAAUAUAAAUAGUAUAGAGUAUAGGGGGACUAUAUGAAAUUGGACGGGCUGAGCGUAACUUACGUUGAACGUAAGUUAGGCGGAUUGAAAAUAACUUUUUCUAAAUAUCAAAACAAUCAUCAUCAUCAUUAUUAUUGUUGAACGUAAGUUAGGCGGAUUGAAAAUAACUUUUUCUAAAUAUCAAAACAAUCAUCAUCAUCAUUAUUAUUAUUAUUUCGUGUAAUAUAGUUAUAGGGACAAAAAUCUAAGGGUGAAAUAAAAGUGGUAUUUAAUAGAAUUUAUAUUAUGACAAAAGCCAAGUGGACCCAAGUGAUAAAACUGUUUAAUUGAUGGACAGAAGAUCAAUUUUCUUUUGUGUUGCCGACACCACAGUUUGGUUUACGCUUCCCGACCCAUGAUAUAGGAGAAGUCUAUGUUACAGCUUCUGUAAGUAGCAGCAGCCAAUAGGGAACUUCCACGGGUGCAAGGUGAUGGAAAUGGGAAAGUUCGAAGCUGUUACUUGCAGCUUCUGCACCUUAGCCAUGUCCUGAUAUUCAGGACCAUGCACUUUUGUCAUCCCAGACAAUUUUUCAUAAUUAAAACAAAACAAGUGCUGCGUCCUGUGGCUGAUAUUUAGAGCAAAUGAAGUUUACCAAGUCCUCCCAUGAAAAUAUCAUAUCCCACCAUUAUCUCCAACCAUUUUAAAGGUUGAAAUUACAAGAGAAGUCGUAUCGUAUCUAUGUACUAUGUUUGUCACAAUUGUUUGGCAACCUCCAAAUUGGCCGUAUAAAGUCAUUGAUUAAUCAGAAAAAGAUACCAUUGUCGAAAACUUCGCCAUUGUGGCCCCUGAUGUAUAAAACUGACCAUAGGAUUAGCAACGGUUUGUCAGCUAGCGGAACUUACGUGUACGUCAUGCACACUUAAAUGUUAUCUAUAUACUGUGUAGGCAUUGCUCUGAACUAACCUCUUCAUUCAGAGUCCCCGAGUCAGCUGCAAGGGAAUGGCCAUGAAUAAUCUUUCAGCAGAAUCAACUGUUGCUGCAGCAAUUUCAGCCUUAGUGAUAUUCCUCUCAAUUUUCCUAUUGAUUUCAAAAAAUGGGCAAAAAAGGACACUCAAGAAGAAGCAAGCUCAACAAGCACCGGAAGCAGGGGGAGCAUGGCCUUUGAUCGGCCACCUACAUAUCUUACGAGGGCCAGAGCCAGCUCACAGAGUUUUGGGCAACAUGGCUGACAAAUAUGGACCGAUAUUCACUAUGAAAUUGGGAGUGAAGCAAGCUUUAGUGGUGAGCAACUGGGAAAUUGCCAAGGAGUGUUUUACCACAAACGACAAAGCUUUUGCAAGUCGCCCUAAAACGAUGGCCAUGGAGCUUUUGGGGUGCAACUUUUUGGCCAUAGGCUUCGCACCAUAUGGCAACUACUGGCGUCAGUCACGUAAGAUAGCCACAAUUGAGCUUCUGUCAAAUCGUCGGCUUGAGAUGCUCAAACAUGUACGUGAAUCCGAAGUGAAGGCUUCAAUCCAGAGGUUAUACAAGAACUGCAUAAGUGGCAGCAGUUCACGUAAAGUAGUUUCGGUGGAGAUGAUCCAUUGGCUCGAGGGCACAGUACUUGACAUUAUUUUGAGAAUAAUUGCCGGAAAACGUCACACUUCACAAUCAAAAGAGGUUAAUGAUUGGCAACAGCAAAUAACAAAGUUCACUGCCUUGUCUGGUCAGUUCGUGGUGUCCGAUGCGUUGCCUUUUCUGAGAUGGCUAGAUAUCGGCGGCUAUGAGAGAUUAAUGAGCAAGACAGCCAAAUAUUUUGACAUCAUUUUGCAAGAAUGGUUGGAUGAGCACAAGAUGAAAAGAGAUUCUG
rnacentral:lncRNA from 1 species